rnacentral:rRNA from 1 species
UACAGAGGUCCCAAGCGUUGUUCGGAUUCACUGGGCGUAAAGGGUGCGUAGGUGGUUGGGUAAGUUUGAUGUGAAAUCUCCGGGCUUAACCCGGAAACUGCAUUGAAUACUAUCUGGCUAGAGGGUUGGAGGGGGGACUGGAAUACUUGGUGUAGCAGUGAAAUGCGUAGAGAUGUGGAGGAACACCGAUGGCGAAGGCAGCCCCCUGGGCCGAUACUGACGCUCAGGCACGAAAGCGUGGGGAGCAAACAGG